rnacentral:rRNA from 1 species
GAUGAACGCUAGCGGCAGGCCUAACACAUGCAAGUCGAGGGGUAAGAAGAGCUUGCUUUUCUGAGACCGGCGCACGGGUGCGUAACGCGUAUACAAUCUACCUUGUACAGGGGGAUAGCCCAGAGAAAUUUGGAUUAAUACCUCAUAGUGUUAUUGAGUGGCAUCACUUGAUAACUAAAGUUCCAACGGUACAAGAUGAGUAUGCGUCCCAUUAGUUAGAUGGUAAGGUAACGGCUUACCAUGACAAUGAUGGGUAGGGGUCCUGAGAGGGAGAUCCCCCACACUGGUACUGAGACACGGACCAGACUCCUACGGGAGGUAUCAGUGAGGAAUAUUGGACAAUGGGGGCAACCCUGAUCCAGCCAUGCCGCGUGCAGGAUGACGGUCCUAUGGAUUGUAAACUGCUUUUAUACAGGAAGAACCCCUUCUUUGCGAAGAAGACUGACGGUACUGUAAGAAUAAGGAUCGGCUAACUCCGUGCCAGCCGCCGCGGUAAAAC